UUUAUGAACGAUAGCUCCUUGUUUCCACUUGUUAUUGUCUCUAUAGUCUCUUUAAGAUUUGAACUCCCUACUGGAUGCAAAAAGAAUAUUUGUUUUUUACCAUCUCCCCAUUUUAUUAUUAUUCUCUGUGGAGCUAUUGAUUUGACAUAUUUAGAAUUGACAUCAAAUGGUUUAAUUGAAAAGGAAAAAAUGGUCUACCCUACGUAACCAGGCUUUAUUUAAAAAGGUUAUUAUAAUAUGGCCUUUAUUGCUACAGUGCGAUACUGGCAUGUUGCACCCUUGAAUGUGGGUGCAAUAAUAGAACAGAACAGAAAAAGAGUAAUUUAGUGGCCAAAAAUCUUUGUUACGGAAAAGAGGGGUAAAGCUAUAUUACAUGAGAACAUUAGGGCAAGUGAAGUGUCUUUAUACAAAACAAAUGGAACUUAUUUGUCACAAACUGGAAAUCAGGUUUUCUUGAAUAAUAUACAAGGGUUUGUGUAGGGGGGAGUCGGUCCUACGCACAACAUAAUCAACUUUUCCUUAGAGUCAAUAAAGAAAAUUUUGUGGAGGUGAGAACCCAUGUCAGAUUUGGAAGCUGACUUGGGCUCUCAUGUGGCGGUCCAGGGAGACUGGUAGUGAUUGGGGGAUUAUUUCACUCGGCCCUUGCUCUGGGCCUGACAAGUUAUAAAAUUUGCAGGUUUG
rnacentral:lncRNA from 1 species